rnacentral:rRNA from 1 species
GACGAACGCUGGCGGCGUGCCUAACACAUGCAAGUCGAGCGAAGAACUUCGGUUCUUAGCGGCGGACGGGUGAGUAACACGUGGGUAACCUGCCUCAAAGAGGGGGAUAGCCUCCCGAAAGGGAGAUUGAUACCGCAUAAUAUUAGAUCUUCACAUGGAGAUUUAAUUAAAGGAGUAAUCCGCUUUAAGAUGGACCCGCGGCGCAUUAGCUAGUUGGUGAGGUAACGGCUCACCAGGGCGACGAUGCGUGGCCGACCUGAGAGGGUGAUCGGCCACAUUGGAACUGAGACACGGUCCAGACUCCUACGGGAGGCAGCAGUGGGGAAUAUUGCACAAUGGGCGAAAGCCUGAUGCAGCAACGCCGCGUGAGUGAUGAAGGCCUUCGGGUUGUAAAACUCUGUCUUUGGGGACGAUAAUGACGGUACCCAAGGAGGAAGCCACGGCUAACUACGUGCCAGCAGCCGCAGUAA